rnacentral:rRNA from 1 species
CCUACGGGACGCAGCAGUGGGGAAUAUUGCACAAUGGGGGAAACCCUGAUGCAGCAACGCCGCGUGAGUGAAGAAGGUUUUCGGAUUGUAAAGCUCUGUUAGCAGGGAAGAUAAUGACGGUACCUGACUAAGAAGCCCCGGCUAACUACGUGCCAGCAGCCGCGGUAAUACGUAGGGGGCAAGCGUUAUCCGGAUUUACUGGGUGUAAAGGGAGCGUAGGUGGCAGGGCAAGUCAGAUGUGAAAACCCGGGGCUCAACCCCGGGAGUGCAUUUGAAACUGUCCAGCUGGAGUGCAGGAGAGGUAA